rnacentral:rRNA from 1 species
AUUGAACGCUGGCGGCAGGCCUAACACAUGCAAGUCGAACGAGUGGCGGACGGGUGAGUAAUGUCUGGGCAACUGCCUGAUGGAGGGGGAUAACUACUGGAAACGGUAGCUAAUACCGCAUACCAUCAGAUGUGCCCAGAUGGGAUUAGCUUGUUGGUGGGGUAACGGCUCACCAAGGCGACGAUCCCUAGCUGGUCUGAGAGGAUGACCGGCAACACGGGAACUGAGACACGGCCCAGCCCCCUCUGGGAGGCAGCAGUGGGGAAUAUUGCACAUGGGGCGCAAGCCGGAUGCAGCCAUGCCGCGUGUAGGAAGAAGGCCUUCGGGUUGUAAAGUACUUUCAGCGGGGAGGCGUUACCCGCAGAAGAAGCACCGGCUAAUUCCGUGCCAGCAGCCGCGGUAAUU